CGGGCAGGACGGAACCGGUACGCGGGGAAACGGAGCCGGGUGGCCCAGGAAGCGGCAGCAGCAACUUCCGGGCGGAGCGGGGCUGGGGCAGGCCCGGGCGCCGCGCUCGGGUCCCCGCGCAGCUGGGCAGGUGGGGCGCGGGGAAUUAGACCAGUCUAAGGUGCUGGAAGAUGCUGUGAAAAAGCAUGGAAGAUAAAAGACGGAAAGCCAGAGUACAGGGUGGUUGGGCUGGACCUGUUCAGAGCAGAACAGCCUCAUAUGCAGCUCCAGGGGCUUCUGCGGCCAGGAACCUUUUGUCAGUGGGCACUGAUCAGACCUGGAUGAGAAGAGAGCAGCUUUCAUCCAAAAGACAAUUUGUGUUUAAAGAACCAGCAGAGGUGGAACGCAAAGCUCCAGAGCCAAGAGUAAUAGAUGAACAGGGCCUGUAUGAGAUCAGCACGUUGCCAACAGGAGUGUCUCGGGUUCAUUUGAUUCCUGGCUUCAUUGACUCAAAACAAGCAGACUGGAUGUUUGAACAACUGCUCCAAGAGAUCCCCUGGAGGCAGAGAACUCACCUCAGGCAGGAUCUAUCUUACAAAGAGCCCAGACUUACUUCCUGGUAUGGGGAACUUCCUUACACUUACUCCAGGUUAACGAUGCAGCCAAAUCCUAAUUGGCAUCCUCUGCUGACCAUGCUGAAGGAGCACAUCGAAAAGACCACCAGUCACACCUUCAACUCUCUGCUCUGCAAUCUGUACCGAAAUGAGAAGGACAGUGUCGACUGGCACAGUGAUGAUGAGCCAUCAUUGGGGAGAAACCCUGUCAUUGCCUCGCUCAGCCUUGGUGCCACCCGAAUCUUUGAGAUGAGGAAGAAACCCCCACCUCUGAAGAAAAUUGGUGAUGCCUGCAACGCAACGGAGCUGGAGAUGAGAUCUGAAAGACCAGAUAAUUUGUACCCAAGAGUUUGAAAAGAAUUGAUGAGGAGCUCUCUGAGCCAUUGAUGUUGAUAUUUUAGAAAACUUUUGGAAUCCUGAUGAAGUCCAAGAAGACUGGGAAAAAAGUUAAUGUGUCAAUAUUUUAAAAGGGUAAACAGGAUGACCCAGGUAACUAUAGGCCACUUAGCCUAACAUGGAUCCCAAGUAAAGUCACGCAAAGCCUGAUAUGGGGUACAGUCAAUAAAGAAUUAAAAUAUGGCAGCAUAAUUAAUACCGCUACAUGUGGUUCAUGGAAUAUAGGUCUUGGCAAACAAUCUUGACAGCCUUUUUUGAUUAUAUAACAAGUUUGGUUGACAAAGAUAACUGUUGGCAUAAUAGACGUCUGUAAGACAUUUGAUUUAGAACUGCACGACAUUCUGAUUUUAAAAAUUAGCACUAUACUAGAGUUCAAACCGAUCACCAGAGAGGUGAGAACAGGCAUUGUGGGACACCUCUCAGAGGCCAAUUGCAUCCCUGGCACCGCAGCGCUGUAGCUCCGGCACAGAAAGCUCUACGCCUCUCGUCGGGGUGAUUUUUUUUAGAGCGCUAGUGCGCUGGGAGCCACACCCCUUGUGGAGGUGGGUUUUUUACAGCGCUGGUGCUGCGACUACACAGCCACGUUAAAACGCCACCACGGUAGCGCUUUAACAUUGCUAGUGAAGACGUGCCAUAUGCCUUUUCCAUGCCCAUGUGCUGUGAAGCUUGUGUUUGGAACACAGGAAGUGCAAGCCACAUGGCAAGAGGAAUAUAAUGGGCAGCUGCACCAGCUCCAUUUUGUCUUCAGUCCUGCUUCUUACCUCUGGAGUAACUUUGCUACAAACUGAAUCUCUGAACAAAGGACUGAAUGACCCAUUCAAGUUGUGAAUGUAUUCCAGAGGGACUUUCAAGCCAGCAAACUCACCAAUACUGCUAAGACCCUGAUACAUGGACUUUGAAUCUUUGAAGAGAAUGGGGACUAUACUUAUGUGGAAAGAGUGCGGAUCCCAUUGCCUCAUGGAACUUUACUGAUGAUGGAGGGAGCUACCCAGGAAGACUGGCAG